UGGGAAAUAGCCAAGUUGGAAAGGCGGCGCGUUUUGGGUGCGUUAUUUCGAAGGUUCGAGUCCUUCUUUCCCAG
rnacentral:tRNA from 1 species